CCCAUCAGCAACAAGAGCACAAGCCUGGCUGUGUGGAUGGUGUUUGCCUGACCACAUUACUGCCUCACCUGAUAGUAGCAUUCUUUAAUGUUAGGCCCUAUGUUUUUGAUAAUUGGAGGUUGAUAAUUUUUAAUGCAUAUCAAAGAGUAUAUGGAACAGAUAUAUAAAUUAUGAAGAAUGAAAUCAAACAUCUGGGAAUCCAUCUUCCAACUUAAGAUUGAUGACAUUGGCAAUGACGUUAACACUACCCACGUGUUCUGCCAGCUUCCCUCAGGUGCACAAAUGCAUUGUCAUGCUUUUCUCAAGAUAAUGAGGAAAGAUUUAUUUCACAAAAGACAGAACUGAAGCACAGAAGAGCUAAGUUGACCAAAGCUGGACAGAAAGGGGUAAAGUUGUGAAUUGAAUCCAGGCAUAUUUGAUGUUAUCUUAAUCCCUUCUAUAAGUAACAAAAAGUUUGUGAAGGCUUACUAUAGCACAAUGUGGAAAAUUGUUCAUCUCUUCUAUUUCUCU